ACUGGGGCCAAUGGGGGAGCAGGGAAGGGAGAACUUUCUAGAGAAAGGACGUAUAAGGCAGCAAUAAGAAGCCAGCAGCUGACUCAGGAGUUUCUUGUUAAGCAAGAUUUGAGCACCUAAUUCUCACACCUGUGGAUAAAACUUUGCUGUAAAGAAGAGGUCAAGGGAUGCAUGAGCCAGAAUUUCCUAUUUAAUUCCACUGUAAGGGAAAAGACACCCUCCUUCCCAAGCUGUCAUCUACAAAUCCAAAAGAAGAACUGUGUCCUUCUGAUCAGCCUGAUGAUCACCACAGACCAUCUGGGCUGCACUUCUGGCCAAUAUUCAGGUGUGAAGUAGACUUGAAGCAUUUCAAACUCUCAAACAAAAAGAAGUGUGAGUAUUUUGCCAGACAAAGCCAGCUUAGGUACAGGCAGAAUUUUAGCAAAGACUGGGGAGACUACACACUCCCAUACUAAAAACAGAAAUACUUCUCCUUCAGACCUUUAUUUAGGGUUCCUAGUGCAGAAGUGGAGCAGGAAAGGAGCCGUGUUAUCAAUCAGUCCGAGGGCUCUCACCCGGCUGGAACAGGACAUGUUGUGCACUAUAUAUUUAUAUUUACCCAUUUCAAAAGGCUGCAGAUUCAUUUUUAUUUUUCCUUGACAUGAGAAAUAUUGGUGGAAGCAUUGAAGGAUUAGAGAGUGCCUGUGAUUUUCCUGCUAAAGUAAACAUCAGCCAAUGCUGUAACCAGAUCACAUUCUUGUGGCGGGCUGAAGAGACUUUAAUUUUCAGCCACACUGAGAAGAAGCAAAAAGUGCACCAGGAAAUGGGCUGAGCUUUCUUUAGUGUGGGAAUGAAAACGUGGGACAGAUGGGGAUAUUUGGCCUCAUUUUACCUGCCCUGAUCCCUGGGAUCCAUCAAGACUAGUUCAGGAUGAGAUGCCCCAUCCCUGGGAGUGUCCAUGUUGGAUGGGGCUUGAAGCAACCUGGCAGGGUGGAAGGUGGGGCAGGGAUGGCACUGGAUGGGCUUUAAGGUCCUUCCUACCCCAACCAUUCUGGGAUUUGAAGGAUUCUGCAGACAAGAAAUGAAAUGAUUUCUCCAUUUUGGAGACAGCAGUGCCGUCCUGCCCAAGCAGUCUCUGCCCUGAGUGUGUGUGGUGGCACUUGCAGGCAGGACAGAGCCCCACCAGGGAGCAAACACGUGGCAAAAGAGCCCUCACUCCAAAAAACCUUCAGCAGGGCAAGUUCAGGGAGGGAGGAGACCGGCCCCAUCAGCUGCCCUGUGCUGGCUGAGGUGUGAGGAGCAGAAAUGUCACAGACCUGAGGUCACCCAGGCAGCUUUCAGCAGACAGGUCCCUGGAGCCCAAGCACUCCAACGAGGUCAGAUCACAGCGAGGCUCUUCCUUGCCUUCCUUGGAGGACAUUUCUGUGCAGGCACCAGAGAGGAUUUAUCUGUAAAUGGUUUUGAUAACCAACAUUUGUAAAUGGUUUGAUAACCACGAGAAAUGAAAGCUGGAAAUUAUGUACUCUAAAGAGUAAUUAAAGACAAGCACCACCCCAAGUAAAGGGGGUUCAAAAUAUUUUUUAAGAGCACACAGAUAGCAGAUGGAAGAUAAAGUUUUCUGCUUUUUAAAACCCCAAACACCAAGCAGUGUACUGCAAAAUAAAUCCAUUGUUUUGCCGUGUUAUUGUGAAGAGGGUACCUGGUGCAGUGGAAGAUGAUUCUCUGAGUAAUUUUUGGACAUCAUUCUGUUUUCACAAUGCAAAAUUCUGCAUACAUUGGGUGGGAGCUCUAUGAGUCACCCAAUAUCUGCUGUGAUUUUAAUGCCAAGUUAUUUUAAUGUCUAAGGGAAAGCAUAAAUCAGAAGUUUUCAAAUGACAGGCACAUUUCUGGAGCAAUGUUGCAAACCCAUGUAGGUGAACAAGCUGAGAGUUACAGCUGAGUUCUUUUCUUUGAGUGCCUGUACAAAGCUCUGGAUCCAGCCCAGAGAAAGGGAGAAGGAAUAAAAUUAAUACAGCUCAUAGGAAUGCCUGGAUUUUUGAUGUGAAUUUCUCUCUUAAUGUAUUACAGUUACUUUUUUGGGAAAUUUUCUGCUUUCCAACUAAACAUGUUUUAAUAUAAAUAAUAACAACGAUAAUAAAAUCCAGCAGUUUGCAUUGAGGUCUUAUUUUCCCACAAGGAUUCUUGAGAAGCUGAACAGGGAAUGUUCUCCAGAAGAAAAACAACUUCUGCCCAGCCAAGCAGAGUCCUGCUGCAAAAAGGUGCAACUGCAGUGACUUCAGCACAGCUCUGUGACCUAAAAAAUGGCCAGAAUUGAUGUAAGAGGGAAAAAUGUUGCUCUGGCUCACAUAAAGAAACAGCACAUUCUGUCCCAGAAUGGUUAUGUGGCCCCUGCUGAGCUGAACUUCCCCUGGAUAAUUUCUUUAUGUCUUGGAAUUCAACCUCCAGCCAGCCCAAGGCUUUUUGUGCUACUUAAAUUCGAUGGAAAAAUCAUCUGGGGAGUCUUGGUGAUGUCCUGUGCUCUGUGCUUGUCUACAUGCACAACAAAUUUACUGUGCAAGCUCGAGGCUUUGAUGUUAUUUUUAAAAGUUCUUGAGGGCUGACAAGACUCCUUGAGUUUGGGGUCAAGCUGGAGAGGCUGAAGUGGGCACACAGAUAUUUUCUGAUUUAUUUUAGCAUCCUGUGCAUGAUGCAGCCCUGGGCUGUGUCCACCUCUUCCCACCUCCCUUCAUACCAGUUCACUCUGGCAAAAAUAUGGGAAUUUGUAGUUUCUCCCCCUAUUUUUAUUUCCUGUGCAGAGAAGACAUUUUUAUGCCAUAUUUUGAACAGUUUUUUUUGCUACUUUUUUUUUGCUGCUGAAAAUUUCUUAGACAUGUUUAGCUAAGGUUUGCCACUUGUAUUUUGUUCUAAUAAAACUUCAUUUCUGGUGUAAGGGACUUCUUGGUUUUCAACACAUCUCACUGUUUUCUGUCAUUGUUAGAGAAAGUUUGUUUCACUGAGUUACCUCAAUAAUUCAACUCCUGACAGCUGAUAAUUUACAUUUUUGUUGCAGUCAGUGGUACCAGGGCUCCCUCUCCUGGCUUUCCUUCUUUUCCUGCUGAUUCCCUGAGCAGUUUAAUUCCCCACCACUGCGGAACUGGAAUUAAAUAUUAUAAAUUGGGCAGAUUUGGGGGAGCAGCAACAGAGUUCUGCCACAGAAACCCACGCAAUUUCCCUCCUGCCAGCACACACCCACGAUUUUUACCUAAUCAUUAUUUCUUCAAGCUGUAUAAAGAGCCAAGAAACAACAGCCAGAGCAGUUUUUUUCUAAACCAUCCCUUUGCUCUCUAGGAAGAAGAAGAUGUUUCCAUCACGUUCCUGUCCUGCUGUGAGUGCUUUACUCACUCUCUACACCCUCUAUUAAACUGCACAGCAUUUACUCCCAGAGAUCCAUAACUGGGAUAUCUCCCCCCUCUGCCGAGUAAAAACCAUUGCCUCAUGUUUUUUGUCAUUUUUACAAAGGUGCCCUGACUGCACACAAAAAUCCAGGUAUUAAAUGCUCAGUGUAUUUUGUUUUAUUUUAGACAAAAAAACCUUCCCCCAAAACUAUCAAUUGGCUGAAUAGCUCCACGUUUCUCCUCUUCACAUUCCAAUUUUAAAAGUCCCCAAAACCAUAAGGCAUUCUGCUCUAAAAAUAAAGUACAUUCCUAUUCCACUUGGCCUCCUCUACCCCCUGAGCUAAUUGGUGAAUGUUUUACU